ACCCGAUGGCAGAUGAUCGCUGGCGGGAAGAAGUUGCCGCCAGAGGAAAGUCCGAACACCACACGGCAGCAUGCCGCGUAAAACACGCGGACAUCGUUCUCCCAAGAGGGCGGUGAUGGAAAGUGUCGCAGAAAAUACACCGCCCUUCGGCAGCGAUGCCGGCGGGUAAGGUUGAAAUGGCGAGGUAAGAGCUCACCGCUCGCGGAGUGAUCCGCGAGGCACGAAAAACCCCAUGCGGUGCAAGACAAAACAGAGGGAGGGCAGCCGGUCCGUGUUCCCUCGGGUAUCGUCGCAUCACGCGCGCUGGGAUGGCUGGUCUCCGACCGCGGUCUCGGCGCAGCGGGCGUCCUGCGCAAGCGGGAUGAGAUAAAUGAUCAUCGGGUCGCUUCGGCGGCUGACAGAAUUCGGCUUAUCGCCAUCGAGAUGGA
rnacentral:RNase_P_RNA from 1 species